rnacentral:rRNA from 1 species
GGACGUGGUGGAGCCGGUGACCCAACGGGGUAGUAGGUGAGCGAUGGGGUGACGCAGGAAGGUAGUCCAGCCCGGCGGUGGUAGUCCCGGGGUAAGGGUGUAGGACGUUGCGUAGGCAAAUCCGCGCAACACGUGUCUGAGACCUGAUGCCGAGCCGAUUGUGGUGAAGUGGAUGAUCCUAUGCUGUCGAGAAAAGCCUCUAGCGAGUUUCAUGGCGGCCCGUACCCCAAACCGACUCAGGUGGUCAGGUAGAGAAUACCGAGGCGUUCGGGUGAACUGUGGUUAAGGAACUCGGCAAAAUGCCCCCGUAACUUCGGGAGAAGGGGGGCCAUUGCUGGUGACGGGACUUGCUCCCCGAGCUGGUGGUGGCCGCAGAGACCAGCGAGAAGCGACUGUUUACUAAAAACACAGGUCCGUGCGAAGCCGUAAGGCGAUGUAUACGGACUGACGCCUGCCCGGUGCUGGAACGUUAAGGGGACCGGUUAGUCCGAUUUCGGUCGGGCGAAGCUGAGAACUUAAGCGCCAGUAAACGGCGGUGGUAACUAUAACCAUCCUAAGGUAGCGAAAUUCCUUGUCGGGUAAGUUCCGACCUGCACGAAUGGCGUAACGACUUCUCGACUGUCUCAACCACAGGCCCGGUGAAAUUGCAUUACGAGUAAAGAUGCUCGUUUCGCGCAGCAGGACGGAAAGACCCCGGGACCUUUACUAUAGCUUGAUAUUGGUGUUCGGUUCGGCUUGUGUAGGAUAGGUGGGAGACUGUGAAGCAGCAACGCCAGUUGUUGUGGAGUCGCCGUUGAAAUACCACUCUGGUCGUGCUGGAUGUCUAACCUGGGUCCGUGAUCCGGAUCAGGGACAGUGUCUGGUGGGUAGUUUAACUGGGGCGGUUGCCUCCUAAAGGGUAACGGAGGCGCCCAAAGGUUCCCUCAGCCUGGUUGGCAAUCAGGUGUUGAGUGUAAGUGCACAAGGGAGCUUGACUGUGAGACUGACGGGUCGAGCAGGUACGAAAGUAGGGACUAGUGAUCCGGCGGUGGCUUGUGGAAGCGCCGUCGCUCAACGGAUAAAAGGUACCCCGGGGAUAACAGGCUGAUCUUCCCCAAGAGUCCAUAUCGACGGGAUGGUUUGGCACCUCGAUGUCGGCUCGUCGCAUCCUGGGGCUGGAGUAGGUCCCAAGGGUUGGGCUGUUCGCCCAUUAAAGCGGUACGCGAGCUGGGUUUAGAACGUCGUGAGACAGUUCGGUCCCUAUCCGCUGUGCGCGUAGGAGUGUUGAGAAGGGCUGUCCCUAGUACGAGAGGACCGGGACGGACGAACCUCUGGUGUGCCAGUUGUCCUGCCAAGGGCAUGGCUGGUUGGCUACGUUCGGGAGGGAUAACCGCUGAAAGCAUCUAAGCGGGAAGCCUGCUUCGAGAUGAGCACUCCCACCUCCUUGAGAGGGUAAGGCUCCCAGUAGACGACUGGGUUGAUAGGCCGGAUAUGGAAGCCCUGUGAGGGGUGGAGUUGACCGGUACUAAUAGGCCGAGGGCUUGUCCUC